UCUUUUCCUUUUUUUCCAGCAGCCGCGGUAAUACGUAGGGAGCAAGCGUUGUCCGGAUUUACUGGGUGUAAAGGGUGCGUAGGCGGCUUUGCAAGUCAGAUGUGAAAUCUAUGGGCUCAACCCAUAAACUGCAUUUGAAACUGUAGAGCUUGAGUGAAGUAGAGGCAGGCGGAAUUCCCCGUGUAGCGGUGAAAUGCGUAGAGAUGGGGAGGAACACCAGUGGCGAAGGCGGCCUGCUGGGCUUUAACUGACGCUGAGGCACGAAAGCGUGGGUAGCAAACAGG
rnacentral:rRNA from 1 species